UACGUAGGGGGCUAGCGUUGUUCGGAAUUACUGGGCGUAAAGCGCACGUAGGCGGAUACUUAAGUCAGGGGUGAAAUCCCGGGGCUCAACCCCGGAACUGCCUUUGAUACUGGGUAUCUCGAGUCCGGAAGAGGUGAGUGGAAUUCCGAGUGUAGAGGUGAAAUUCGUAGAUAUUCGGAGGAACACCAGUGGCGAAGGCGGCUCACUGGUCCGGUACUGACGCUGAGGUGCGAAAGCGUGGGGAGCAAACAGG
rnacentral:rRNA from 1 species